GAUGAACGCUGGCGGCGUGCCUAAUACAUGCAAGUCGAGCGAACGGACGAGAAGCUUGCUUCUCUGAUGUUAGCGGCGGACGGGUGAGUAACACGUGGAUAACCUACCUAUAAGACUGGGAUAACUUCGGGAAACCGGAGCUAAUACCGGAUAAUAUUUUGAACCGCAUGGUUAAAAAGUGAAAGACGGUCUUGCUGUCACUAAUAGAUGGAUCCGCGCUGCAUUAGCUAGUUGGUAAGGUAACGGCUUACCAAGGCAACGAUGCAUAGCCGACCUGAGAGGGUGAUCGGCCACACUGGAACUGAGACACGGUCCAGACUCCUACGGGAGGCAGCAGUAGGGAAUCUUCCGCAAUGGGCGAAAGCCUGACGGAGCAACGCCGCGUGAGUGAUGAAGGUCUUCGGAUCGUAAAACUCUGUUAUUAGGGAAGAACAUAUGUGUAAGUAACUGUGCACAUCUUGACGGUACCUAAUCAGAAAGCCACGGCUAACUACGUG
rnacentral:rRNA from 1 species